AUUGAAGCCGAGUUUGCUGGCCUCACCACUGUUGACCUGAAAGGCUGUCUCUUUGCUGGCCUGGACAAGUAUCUGCAGAGGUUGGUGUGGUGGAGCUGAAGAAGCUGUUGACAACACUGGAUACUGAUUGUUCCAACCAAUGGAAAAGGACCGUCGUGCUGAUGGGGCUCCCCCACUACCUCAAAGAUGUUGCGUCCAACUUUUACAAGAAAGUUCAGUUGCUGAGGAGGACAAAACGAGAGGAAUGACAGUGGGCAUCCUCAUGGUGGCAGACGGGAAUGAUACUGUUGGUUUCGCUGUGGUCAUUGAGGAAGAAAUCAUCCUUCUGUCGCUCAGUGAUUUUCCAACAGCAGCUGUGACACUUCUAAUGGGUCUGCUCUACGCACUGAACAUUGACUACCCCAAAGAUACAAGGUACACAUUUGAAGUCAUUCAGAAGGUGCUCAUGGACAUUGGU